rnacentral:lncRNA from 1 species
GUACAUAUAUAUGAAUAUAUAUAGCAAUAUAUAUAUAUACUUCCUACCUUCAAUGACCUCGAAGUACAGCAAAUAAUUAUUAUGUGCUAAAUGAUGGAAACACAAAGAUAUACUAUGAAGAGAAGUAGGAGUUGGAGGACCAACUGUGUACAGAGACGAGAUCAUGGAAGAUCAACUGAGCGCCUCUGGCAAAACAUCAAGAGCAAAGAGAAGAUGGCCCAUCAUAAGCCAAAGCAAUUAAAUUCCUCUCCCUCUGGCCACACCAAAGAGCAUUUAACAUGCAUCAUGGUCUCAGGUCAAGAGUAUAUUCAAUAGUUGACAGUGAUGUGGCCUCUAGCUUUCCAGAAGAGAGGAAGUCACUGUCCAUCAUACAGUGCUUUAAUUUGAGUGUGAGCACCUGAAAUUUGGAUUUCUUAAAUAUCUCUGUCUCAGGACUUAGCAUGAUGCCUGAGGCUGAACUGAUGUCUGUGGAGAAAAGAACACGAAGGAAUAAUGUAAUAUGAAACUCCCUAACAUGAUACAUAUACAAAGACUAUUGAGAAAUCAAUGUGGAAAAUGCAAAACUAAGGGAGAAAGCAUUUUGAACCACUCAUCUAAGAAUAUGGUCAGUAUUAAAAAGACAAGAAUAUCAGAAAAA